rnacentral:rRNA from 1 species
AACGAACGCUGGCGGCGCGCCUAACACAUGCAAGUCGAGCGAGAAAGGGGGAGCAAUCCCCUCGAGUAGAGCGGCGAGCGGGUGAGUAACGCGUGGGCAAUCUGCCCUCCAGCCCGGGACUAACACCUCGAAAGGGGUGGCUAAUACCGGAUGACAUCAGCCCGGCGCAUGCCGGGCUGAUCAAAGGCGGCCUCUGCAUGCAAGCUGUCACUGGGGGA